rnacentral:lncRNA from 1 species
GAUGGCUGUGGCAGAAAGGACAAGCUUCUUUCAAGUCUUUUUUUGAAAAAGGGGGCUCUGGAAAACAUGACCGUCUUUGACAGUCUUAAAAACACUGCAAACUCUUCUACUUCGUGAGCACUAGCAAAAACAAUCCCAGCUGCCCCAGCAGCUCUGGAAGAGGCUGGCAGAAACACAUGCUGUCUGAAAGCAGGCCUACCACAUCUGGAUAGGAAGACAGGCGAUCAAGUGACAUCUACGUUAAGUGUAGCAAUUUUCACAACAAGGAUUCUGUUGUGCUUGAAGCCUUAUCCUUUCUGGAUGAGGUGAGGACUCUGCAGAGCGUACUGAGAGGAACAUCAUAAAGGUACGUGAUUCUGAGAACAUCUGUCAGCCAGUGAAACUUGGACAAGCAUAUGUAUUUGGAAAGCUGUAGAGAGGGAGCCUGCAUAGGCAGUUAAUCUGAUGAGCUAUACGGAUCUCUGCAUCUCCUAGGAGAGUUGGGGAGAAGCUACUAGUGACGUUGCAGACUGUGUAUGAACCAGAGCAAAUAGGAAGCAAAUAGGAAGUGCAUGUUUCCUGUAGUUUCUAUUUCCCUAUAAACUUUACAAUUCUGUAAAGCUUUGUUGUGCCUAGUCUUUACAUUGCCAGAAGUCCCCCUCUCUUGAAAAACAAUAAAAUCUUGUAUAUAAUCUAAACGGUAUCUUAC